AGUGAACGCUGGCGGUAGGCCUAACACAUGCAAGUCGAACGGCAGCACCGUAAGAGCUUGCUCUUACGGGUGGCGAGUGGCGGACGGGUGAGGAAUAUAUCGGAAUCUACUUUUUCGUGGGGGAUCACGUAGGGGAACUUACGCUAAUACCGCAUCCGACCUACGGGUGAAGGCAGGGGAUCUUCGGACCUUGCGCGAUUGAAUGAGCCGAUGUCGGAUUAGCUAGUUGGCGGGGUAAAGGCCCACCUAGGCGACGAUCGGUAGCUGGUCUGAGAGGAUGGUCAGCCACACUGGAACUGAGACACGGACCAGGCGCCUACGGGAGGCAGCAGUGGGGAAUAGUGGACAAUGGGCGCAAGCCUGAUCCAGCCAUACCGCGUGUGUGAAGAAGGCCUUCGGUUUGUAAAGCCCGUUUGUUGGGAAAGAAAAGCAGCAGGUUAAUACCCCGCGGUUCUGACGGUACCCAAAGAAGAAGCACCGGCUAACUUCGUG
rnacentral:rRNA from 1 species